CACGUAGGGGGGCGAGCGUUGUCCGGAUUUAUUGGGCGUAAAGAGCUCGUAGGUGGCUCGGUAAGUCGGGUGUGAAAUUUCGAGGCUCAACCUCGAGACGCCACCUGAUACUGCUGUGGCUAGAGUCCGGUAGGGGAGCGUGGAAUUCCUGGUGUAGCGGUGAAAUGCGCAGAUAUCAGGAGGAACACCGAUGGCGAAGGCAGGUCUCUGGGCCACUACUGACGCUGAGAAGCGAAAGCAUGGGGAGCGAACAGG
rnacentral:rRNA from 1 species